AACAGGAUUAGAUACCCUGGUAGUCCACGCCGUAAGCGAUGUCGACCAGCCGUUGGGUGCCUUGAGCACUUAGUGGCGCAGUUAACGCGAUAAGUCGACCGCCUGGGGAGUACGGCCGCAAGGUUAAAACUCAAAUGAAUUGACGGGGGCCCGCACAAGCGGUGGAGCAUGUGGUUUAAUUCGAUGCAACGCGAAGAACCUUACCUACCCUUGACAUCCUCGGAACCCUCUGGAGACAGAGGGGUGCCUUCGGGAACCGAGAGACAGGUGCUGCAUGGCUGUCGUCAGCUCGUGUUGUGAAAUGUUGGGUUAAGUCCCGUAACGAGCGCAACCCCUGUCCCUAUUUGCCAGCACGUGAUGGUGGGAACUCUAGGGAGACUGCCGGUGACAAACCGGAGGAAGGUGGGGACGACGUCAAGUCAUCAUGGCCCUUACGGGUAGGGCUACACACGUGCUACAAUGGCCGGUACAAAGGGAUGCAAGACGGCGACGUGGAGCGAAUCCCAGAAAGCCGGCCUCAGUUCGGAUCGGAGUCUGCAACUCGACUCCGUGAAGUCGGAAUCGCUAGUAAUCGUGAAUCAGAAUGUCACGGUGAAUACGUUCCCGGGCCUUGUACACACCGCCCGUCACACCAUGGGAGUGGACUGCACCAGAAGUGGUUAGCCUAACUUCGGAGGGCGAUCACCACGGUGUGGUUCAUGACUGGGGGUGAAGUCGUAACAAGGUAACC
rnacentral:rRNA from 1 species